UAGGGAAUAUUGGGCAAUGGGCGAAAGCCUGAUCCAGCAACGCCGCGUGCACGAUGAAGGUCUUCGGAUUGUAAAGUGCUUUUAAGGGAGAUGAGAAAGGACAGUAUCCCUUGAAUAAGCCUCGGCGAACUACGUGCCAGCAGCCGCGGUAAAACGUAGGAGGCAAGCGUUAUCCGGAUUUAUUGGGCGUAAAGCGCGUGCAGGCUGUUUGGAAAGUUGGAUGUGAAAGCUCCUGGCUUAACUGGGAGAGGUCGUUCAAAACUACCAAACUAGAGAAUGGGAGAGGGAAGUGGAAUUCCGGGUGUAGUGGUGAAAUGCGUAGAUAUCCGGAGGAACACCAGUGGCGAAGGCGGCUUCCUGGACCAUUUCUGACGCUUAGACGCGAAAGCUAGGGGAGCGAACGG
rnacentral:rRNA from 1 species